GAUGAACGCUGGCGGCGUGCCUAAUACAUGCAAGUCGAGCGAACAGAUAAGGAGCUUGCUCCUUUGACGUUAGCGGCGGACGGGUGAGUAACACGUGGGUAACCUACCUAUAAGACUGGGAUAACUUCGGGAAACCGGAGCUAAUACCGGAUAACAUUUGGAACCGCAUGGUUCUAAAGUGAAAGAUGGUUUUGCUAUCACUUAUAGAUGGACCCGCGCCGUAUUAGCUAGUUGGUAAGGUAACGGCUUACCAAGGCAACGAUACGUAGCCGACCUGAGAGGGUGAUCGGCCACACUGGAACUGAGACACGGUCCAGACUCCUACGGGAGGCAGCAGUAGGGAAUCUUCCGCAAUGGGCGAAAGCCUGACGGAGCAACACCGCGUGAGUGAUGAAGGGUUUCGGCUCGUAAAACUCUGUUAUUAGGGAAGAACAAAUGUGUAAGUAACUGUGCACGUCUUGACGGUACCUAAUCAGAAAGCCACGGCUAACUACGUG
rnacentral:rRNA from 1 species